GUGCUCACUUCAGCAGCACAUACACUAAAAUUGGAACCAUACAGAGAAGAUUAGCAUGGCCCCUGCGAAAGGAUGACACGCAAAUUGGUGAAGCGUUUCACAUUUUU
rnacentral:snRNA from 1 species